rnacentral:rRNA from 1 species
GCCCAGCAGCCGCGGUAACACGGGGGGCGCAGGCGUUAUUCGGAAUUAUUGGGCGUAAAGGGCGCGCAGGCGGUCUUGUCCGUCAGGUGUGAAAGUCCACGGCUCAACCGUGGAAGUGCAUUUGAAACUGGGAGGCUUGAGUAUUGGAGGGGGUGGUGGAAUUCCCGGUGUAGAGGUGAAAUUCGUAGAUAUCGGGAGGAAUACCGGUGGCGAAGGCGACCACCUGGCCAAAUACUGACGCUGAGGUGCGAAAGCGUGGGGAGCAAACAGGAUUAGAUA